rnacentral:rRNA from 1 species
GUGGGUUGUACCAGAAGUAGAUAGGUUAACCGCAAGGAGGCCGUUUACCACGGUAUGAUUCAUGACUGGGGUGAAGUCGUAACAAGGUAGCCGUAGGUGAACCUGCAGAAGGAUCA